rnacentral:rRNA from 1 species
UUGGAAACAGCGGUUAGGAGCUUACACCCACCCGUGUCUACAUACUAUUGUUGCUUUGGCGGGCCGUGGCCUCCACUGCGGGCUCUGCUCGUGUGUGCCCGCCAGAGAACCAAACUCUGAAUGUUAGUGAUGUCUGAGUACUAUCUAAUAGUUAAAACUUUCAACAACGGAUCUCUUGGUUCUGGCAUCGAUGAAGAACGCAGCGAAAUGCGAUAAGUAAUGUGAAUUGCAGAAUUCAGUGAAUCAUCGAAUCUUUGAACGCACAUUGCGCCCUGUGGUAUUCCGCAGGGCAUGCCUGUUCGAGCGUCAUUUAACCACUCACGCCUAGCGUGGUAUUGGGGCACGCGGUCCCGCGGCCCUCAAAAUUAGUGGCGGCGCCGGUGGGCUCUAAGCGUAGUACAUACUCCCGCUAUAGAGUUCCCCCGGUGGCUCGCCAGAACCCCCAAUUUUUACAGGUUGACCUCGGAUCAGGUAGGGAUACCCGCUGAACUUAAGCAUAUC